CGGGUGAGUAACGCGUGAGGAACCUGCCUCAAAGAGGGGGACAACAGUUGGAAACGACUGCUAAUACCGCAUAAGCCCACGGCUCGGCAUCGAGCAGAGGGAAAAGGAGCAAUCCGCUUUGAGAUGGCCUCGCGUCCGAUUAGCUAGUUGGUGAGGUAACGGCCCACCAAGGCGACGAUCGGUAGCCGGACUGAGAGGUUGACCGGCCACAUUGGGACUGAGAUACGGCCCAG
rnacentral:rRNA from 1 species